rnacentral:lncRNA from 1 species
UUAAAUCAAACAAAUAAAUCGUCUGCUGCAAAAUCUUCAAGUAGCCGCCAACUUCAAUAAUCAACAAAAAGCAAAAGCAACUAAUCAAUCUCAAGCUUAAGAGCACCUGCAGCGCGGAGGGCGAAGGGAGCCUCGAUCCGCGCCGAAGGAGACGGGCGUGCGCUGGAGACGCGGCCAGGUGCGAGGCGAGGUCGAGCGCUGGACCCGGGGCGAAGGCUGAAAAAUUGAUUUGCGU